UCCGAUAUGGUGUAGUGGCUAACAUUAUCGCCUCUCACAAGCUUAGCUGAAGUUCGAUUGCGCGAUAGCCCGGGGUUCGAUUCCCCGUGUCGGAA